UUUUUCAUAUUCAUAUCCUGAGGUGUUUUCAAUAUUAAAACAACCUUUUCCUAUGAAUUUUUUACGGGCACCUAGAAUUCUACAUUUUAAACAUUUAAAGGUUGCAACCUUAUAUUUGAAUAUGAUAUUGCCCCAAAAGCACAUGUGAUGAUGAUGUUUCACUUAGGGGAGAGAUGCCAAGGGGACCCAUAUCCUUUUAAGUAAAAGCCACCUUAGGCCAUCGAGCUCACCAAUUGGCCCCGU
rnacentral:lncRNA from 1 species